UCUUUGAUGGUCUAGCGGUCAUGAUUUCCGCUUGUCACGCGGGAGACCGGGGUUCGACUCCCCGUCAGAGAG
rnacentral:tRNA from 1 species